GCAAAUGUGAACUGCUGUGUUCAAUUGGUUUUAGUUUACAGGCCAGCUGAUAAUCCAUAUUUGCAAUUCCUUCUCAACUAUUGCAAGGGAUGGGAAGAUACCUGCACCAUAGAGGUGUCUUCCCAAAGGAAUAAAAAACCCUGUUAUCAAAAGUACCAAAACUAAUUGGAAAUAACACGUUCCCCUGUAUGUCAUCUGUGAUCUUUUCAGACUGAGGGAUGCAGCUUGAGGACUGGUCCAUGAACAUCUGAAGAACUGCCAGAUCCACCCUCAAUCCAAACAUCUCUGGGCAGCUCUACUGUUGUCAGAGGAAGGGAACCAAUUCUGGGAGCACACUCCCAUGCAGGAACUCAAAUAGGUUUGGUGAAGUUUUGCUCCUUAAGAAGGCUGCUGCUUCAGAGAGGUUUAUGAUUCCAUCUCUCCUGAGACUCAUCAGUGCAUUGGGUAAGUGUUUGAACGGUGCCUUGUGCACAAAUGAUAAAGAAAAUUGUGGAAUCAGCAGGAAAUUACUCAGUGUUUUUUAUUUGGUCUAAAAUAACAUCGGACAAGAAAUGAAAAAGGACCAAGGCAGGAAGAAAAG
rnacentral:lncRNA from 12 species